rnacentral:lncRNA from 1 species
ACAUCUCAAGGCAUCCUAACUAAGGAGGAAAACUAGUACUAGCAUAAUCAGGGUCCCUAACCAUAAUGUCUAACCAUAAGAUAACUAAUAAUAAUGUUAUUUAUCAUAAAGAUGAAAAGGACCAGAAUCAUACUGACAACCGCGGAUACCAGUCCAUAAUCAAUUUGCCACGAACUAACCAUAGUAACCAACAGUAAUGUAAC